rnacentral:rRNA from 1 species
UACGUAGGGGACGAGAGUUGUCCGGAAUUACUGGGCGUAAAGGGCGCGCAGGCUGUGCUGCAAGUCAGCUGUGAAAUGUCUGGGCUUAACCCGGGCAUGCGGUUGAGACUGCAGUGCUGGAGUGCUGUAGAGGCAAGUGGAAUUCCCAGUGUAGCGGUGAAAUGCGUAGAUAUUGGGAAGAACACCGGUGGCGAAGGCGACUUGCUGGGCAGCAACUGACGCUGAGGCGCGAAAGCCAGGGGAGCAAA